rnacentral:rRNA from 1 species
GACGAACGCUGGCGGCGUGCUUAACACAUGCAAGUCGAACGCUGAAGCCCUGGCUUUUGUUGGGUUGGAUGAGUGGCGAACGGGUGAGUAACACGUGAGUAACCUGCCCUCUUCUUUGGGAUAACGCCCGGAAACGGGUGCUAAUACUGGAUAUUCACUGAUCUUCGCAUGGGGGUUGGUGGAAAGGUUUGUUCUGGUGGGGGAUGGGCUCGCGGCCUAUCAGCUUGUUGGUGGGGUGAUGGCCUACCAAGGCUUUGACGGGUAGCCGGCCUGAGAGGGUGACCGGUCACAUUGGGACUGAGAUACGGCCCAGACUCCUACGGGAGGCAGCAGUGGGGAAUAUUGCACAAUGGGCGAAAGCCUGAUGCAGCGACGCCGCGUGAGGGAUGGAGGCCUUCGGGUUGUAAACCUCUUUCGCUCAUGGUCAAGCCGCAACUGUGGGUUGUGGUGAGGGUAGUGGGUAAAGAAGCGCCGGCUAACUACGUG